AUUGAACGCUGGCGGAAUGCUUUACACAUGCAAGUCGAACGGCAGCACGGGAGCUUGCUCCUGGUGGCGAGUGGCGAACGGGUGAGUAAUAUAUCGGAACGUACCUUUCAGUGGGGGAUAACGUAGCGAAAGUUACGCUAAUACCGCAUAUUCUGUGAGCAGGAAAGCAGGGGAUCGCAAGACCUUGCGCUGAUUGAGCGGCCGAUAUCAGAUUAGCUAGUUGGUGAGGUAAAGGCUCACCAAGGCGACGAUCUGUAGCGGGUCUGAGAGGAUGAUCCGCCACACUGGAACUGAGACACGGUCCAGACUCCUACGGGAGGCAGCAGUGGGGAAUUUUGGACAAUGGGCGCAAGCCUGAUCCAGCCAUGCCGCGUGAGUGAAGAAGGCCUUCGGGUUGUAAAGCUCUUUCGGCCGGGAAGAAAUCGCACAGGUUAAUACCCUGUGUGGAUGACGGUACCGGAAUAAGAAGCACCGGCUAACUACGUG
rnacentral:rRNA from 1 species